rnacentral:misc_RNA from 1 species
CUCUAAGCAACGCCCAAUCCAAAAUCCAGCAAAUGACGACCUCCGUCAAGAACAACUUCUUCCCUCCAUCUCUCAUCUCUAAUAUCCAGCAAGUUCUCAUCAACAUGUCGACGCCGCCGGCGUAGAACAAACUUCUGCUAAGGAUAAUGAUCCGAUUCAAGUUGUUGCUUCUGCUACAUCUUCUGCUGAAAGAAGCACUGUCCACGGC